GAUGAAGAACGCAGCGAAAUGCGAUACGUAGUGUGAAUUGCAGAAUUCAGUGAAUCAUCGAAUCUUUGAACGCACAUUGCACCUCUCGGUAUUCCGGGAGGUAUGCCUGUUCGAGCGUCAUUUGUACCCUCAAGCUCUGCUUGGUGUUGGGUGUUUGUUCCGCCUCUGUGUGUGAACUCGCCUCAAAACAAUUGGCAGCCGGCGUACUUGUUUCGGAGCGCAGCACAUUUUGCGAUCCAGAUCAACGUACAGCGGCAUCCAAGAAGCCUUAUUUAACGCUCUUGACCUCGGAUCAGGUAGGGAUACCCGCUGAACUUAAGCAUAUCAAUAAGCGGAGUA
rnacentral:misc_RNA from 1 species